rnacentral:rRNA from 1 species
UGACCAUUGUAGUCCACACUGCAAACCAUGACACCCAUGAAUUGGGGAACAUCAUUGGGUGCCCGUGUGGCGGCCUUUUGUGCCGACCCCCGGCCCCAAUUUAUUUAUCAAUUUACGUGCCUAUUCUAUCACCCCCGGUUCCCUCUUUUGAGGUUCUUCCGGGGUUUUUACGGGAAUAUCCUCAGCACGUUCUAUUUUCCCGGGGUCCC